AGGCGGAUGGUGGAUGCCUUGGGACCGGGAGGCGACGAAGGACGCGGCAUGUCUGCGAUAAGCUUGGGGGAGGCGACCAACAGCCAUUGAUCCCGAGAUUUCCGAAUGGGGAAACCCCAGCCGUGCAAACACGGUUGAUCCCGCGCGCAAGCGCGGGAAGCGAACCUGCGGAAGGGAAACAUCUCAGUACGCAGAGGAAAAGAAAAAAAAUCCUGAGACGCAAGUCAAAGGAAACAUUCCCCCAGUAGCGGCGAGCGAAAAGGGAAGAGCUCAAACCCGUUUGUAUUUCUCCGGUGUUCAUAAAUUAUCAUUGAUAAAUUAUCAUUGAUCAUUGUGGUUACCGGUGAAGUACAAGCGGGGGUUAUAAGAUAAGGAUGUUCCCGAGCGUAAGCGAGGGACAGAGCGCAUCAAUAUGUAAUUUGGUUAGCCCAACUACCCUGGAAAGGGAGGCCAUAGCGGGUAACAGCCCCGUAAGCGAAAAUCAUUACAAGCUUUGAAUCUUUAUUCUUGAGUACCGCGGGAAACGACAGUCCUGCGGGAAGUCGGCGGGACUAUACCGCCAAAGCUAAAUACUACCCGGUCACCGAUAGUGUACAAGUACCGUGAGGGAAAGGUGAAAAGCAGUCCGGUGAGGACGGUGAAAUAGUUCCUGAAACCAUCACGCUUACAAAGACUCGGAGCCUUGCGUUACACAGGGGAAUUCGAAUGUUCGUGUUUCGGAUUUUCGCGUGUAGCGCGGGGUGACGGGGUGCUUUUUGUAGAACGAGCCAACGAGUUUAAUUUAUCAGCAGUCUAAGCGUCUCUGACGCGGAGGCACAGGGAAACCAAGUCUUAAUAGGGCGAAAUAUAUGCUGAUAGGUUAAGACCCGAAGCCAAGGCGAGCUUGCCAUGGCCAGGUUGAAUCCCGCCGAAACGCGGGAGGAGGACCGAACCGGUUGACUGUGCAAAAUCUUCGGAUGAGCUGUGGUAAGAAGUGAAAAGCUAAUCGAGCUUGGUAAUAGCUGGUUCUCUCCGAAAUAACUUUAGGGUUAGCGUUUUGCGUUAAUGAUUCUGGGGGUAGAGCACUGACAGAAAUAUCGCGGGGAAACUCAGAUAUUUCCAUCAAACUCCGAAUACCGGAAUUAUUGCAAAGCAGUAAGACUACGGGCGCUAAGGUCCGUGGUCGUGAGGGGAAAAGCCCAGAUCUUCGUCUAAGGUCCUUAAAUUAAGCUAAGUGCAAAACAAGGAAGUGAAGUUCCUCUGAUAGCUAGGAGGUUAGCUCAGAAGCAGCUAUCCUUUAAAAAGUGCGUAACAGCUUACUAGCUAAGGAAUUUUGCGCCGUAAAUACACGGGGCUCAAGCUUAAUACCGAAGACAAGGGUUUCCCGCAUUUAUGCGGGGAGCGGUAGGAGAGCGUUCCCAAUGCGGCGAAGCCGAACCGUAAGGUUUGGUGGAGCGUUGGGAAGUGAGAAUGUUGGCAUGAGUAACCGCAAUGCGGGUGAGAUCCCCGCACACCGAAAACCCAAGGUUUCCGCGGCAAUGGUGAUCAUCCGCGGGUUAGGCGGUCCUAAGGUCAAGCCGAGAGGCGCAGCCGAUGGACAUUCGGUUAAUAUUCCGAUCCUUCCUUUUUUUGCCGAGAGAGUGACGAAGUUUAGUAAUCCGAGCGGGUUAUUGGAUUCCCGUCGGCAGUUCGACUCCCGAUUUCGAGCGCAAGCGAGGAAAAGGGAUCAGGAUUGACGAAAAGUCCCGGUUCGCCGGGGCGGAUUCGGACCAGCAAACUUCCCGGAAAAACCUCUCAAGGGUUAUCAAAAAAAGGGAACCGUACCGUAAACCGACACAGGUGGGUGGGCGUGAAAACGCCAAGGUGAACGGAUGAAAGUUCGUGAAGGAACUAGGCAAACAAGUAUGCGUAACUUCGGAAUAUGCAUUCCCCCCACUUCGGUGGGGGGCGCAGCGAAAGACUCUCAGGCGGCUGUUUAUCAAAAACACAGGUCCCUGCUAAACUCGCAAGAGGAAAUAUAGGGGCUGAGACCUGACCAGUGCCCGUGUGUCAAAACUGGCGGUGGUAUCGUCGCAAGACGGUAUUGCUAACCGGUCUAAGCUACGGGUGAACGUCCGCGGUAACUCUGACCGUGUUAAAGUAGCGUAGUCCCUUGUCGCGUAAGUUGCGACCCGCAUGAAAGGUAUAACGACCUGAGAACUGUCUCCACGAAUUAUCCGGUGAAAAUGUAAUGGAAGUGAAGAUACUUCCUACCUGCGGCUAGACGGGAAGACCCCGGGAGCUUUACUGCAGGGUGAUAUUGGGUUUUGGAUUUUGAUGCGUAGCAUAGUGGUGAGGCGUUGAGAUCUCGUUUUCGGACGGGGUGGAGCCGACAGUGAAAUAGCCAUCUUCAAUAUUCAUCAUCCUAAUCCUAAGGGUGACAGUGUCACUUGGGCAGUUUAAGUGGGGCGCUUGCCUCCUAAAAAGUAACGGAGGCGUUUAAAGGUCAGCUAAGCACGGAUGGAAAUCGUGCGUGUCGCGUAAAGGCAAAAGCUGGCUUGACUGCAAGGCGGAUGUGCCGCGCAGGCGCGAAAGCGGAACUUAGUGAACCGAUGCUGGUUAUUAGAAUCGGCAGAGAUUAUCAAACAAAAGUUACCCCGGGGAUAACAGGCUGGUACGACCCACGAGUCCAUAUCAACGGUCGUGUUCGGCACCUCGAUGUCGGCUCAUCAUAGCGCGGGGGUGGAGAAGCUCCCAAGCGUCCGGCUGUUCGCCGGUUAAAAUGGUACGUGAGCUGGGUUCAGACCGUCGCGAGACAGGUCGGUCCCUAUCUACCGCAGGCGUUUGAGUUUUGAGGAGAGUCGUCCCUAGUACGAGAGGACCGGGAUGAACUGACCUCUGGUGUACCGGUUGUUCCGCCAGGAGCACCGCCGGGUAGCUAAGUCGGGAACGGAUAAGAACUGAAAGCAUCUAAGUUCGAAGCCGGCUCCAAGAUAAGAACUCUCAGUUUCCUCCAAGAACAGGAGGUUGAUAGGCUGCAGGUGCAAGUGCGGCAACGCAUUCAGCCGAGCAGUACUAAUAAACGAUCAAACGCCU
rnacentral:rRNA from 1 species